AAAAAAAAAAAAAAAAAACAAAAUGUUUACCGAAUCAGUUUAACUGACACUGAAACGCAUUCCCUGGAGCGCCCGCAACAAUGGCAAUAUCGACCGUUCAGAGACUCUCCUACCAAUUCAACCGCCUCCAAUCUCUCUCUACUUUCACCAAAUACGUCUUCGUCCGCUCCUCCGCCUCCGCUGCCACCAUCACCAUCUCCUCCUCCUCAGCCAAAGUCGCCGACAGAAUCGUCAAGCUCUUCGCCGUCGACCUUGACGGUAAAAAGCGGGAGAUCGUGGGCCUCUCUGGCCAGACUCUCCUCAAGGCUUUGACCAACAGCGGUCUCAUUGACCCUGCGUCCCACCGCCUAGAGGAGAUCGACGCUUGCUCCGCCGAGUGCGAGGUCAGCAUCGCCCAGGAGUGGCUUAAUAAGCUGCCACCGAGAUCUUAUGAUGAGGAGUAUGUUUUGAAGAGGAAUUCUAGAGCUAGGGUUUUGAACAAGCACGCUAGGUUAGGAUGCCAGGUCGUCCUUGUUCCAGAGCUUCAAGGUAUGGUUGUUGCGGUCCCCGAGCCAAAACCUUGGGAUAUCCCCUGAAAUUCCGGGUUUUGUUUUGGUUUGGCUUUACUUUGCUAUUUGGAAUUGAAUAUUCAAUAAUGUGCACACUUGAAAUGGAUUUAUGUUUCCUGAAAUGUGGGAUGUGUGUAAGAUUGCCCUUCAAUUGAGUACGCUGGAACUUAAUUCCGAUGUUCUGGUUUAAUUAAUUUGAAUUUCUGCAAAAUUAUUGUUUACUA
rnacentral:misc_RNA from 1 species